rnacentral:lncRNA from 1 species
CAUAUUGUACCUAAUCUGAAAAAAAUAUUAAAUGACAGGAUUACAAGGUGUGGAGGCCGGCUCUCUCGGUUCACUCAAGAGUACCUUUGUUCUGCUGUAGCUCAAAACGUAAGAUGCCAGAGCCACGACGCGAGUGCGUCUGCUUCCCGUUAGGAGGUAAGGCGGCGGAUGUUAUAUAUGCCCACUCUACCAUUUUCUUUAUCUAACAUGUAGAGUUAAACCACUGGUUUCAUAUGUCCUUUAUUCUUAUUACUUUUAGUCUCCAAAUGAUAUAGGAGAUUCUGUUGGUGCUCUAUUAACAUGAUUGGAUUUUGUAUUUUUUUUCUUAUUAAAUAAUAUUGCUCCUGCACCGUGACACAUAGUCGGAGGGUGAUCCAUUCUAUUGUAUAUGUGGACUCCUUAUUGCCAAUGUGGUCAGGAAAUAAUAUCAUCUUUAAAAAUAUCAUUGUAGUAUGAGAUGGGUUCCUGAAGCAGUACCAUAUGUAGCCCUAGAGUUUGAGAUGUGGUUGACUGAGCCGACAGUUAUAGUUCACUGUGUCCAAAAGUUCCAUUUCUUCGCCUUUUUGGAGAAUGAUGCAAAUAAUGUGUUUGUUUUGAACUUCUUUCAACUACAUAUUGCUUGCUAUUUGGUGUUUAGUUUGUAGUGUUACUUUUCUGCACCAGUUGCUUUGCUUCUUGCACUAAUUUUUAUUGUCUUUUUUCUGCACUGAUUGCUUGCUCCUUGCUUUUUUUACUUUGUAGUGUUUCUUUUCUACUGAACCGUGAAAUUAGCGUGUAUGAUUUCUAGAAGCUAUCUCUCUUUUAUGCACUAACUGACUUUGUGUUAGCAUUUGGUUUCGAAAAAUGUCAUUGUACAACCUGACCAAUUCUUGGUGCUAAUUGUUUCAUCCUCUCGUAUUUUAAGUUUGCGAAUUUAAGGCUCUACCAUCAUACAAAGGCAAACAUUCAUGGGGAUUUGGAUUAAGUGCACCUCCUUUUCAUUAUUCUAAUUAAUGAGUGCUCACAGAAAAGGAUACGGUGCUAAGAUUUGCCAUAAUAGAUUCUUGACUUGCCAUAAAUUCAAAUAAGGAUUGAAUAUAUUUGUAGUUAAACCAUUCUUGCUCAGGUUUCAGAUUUCUCAAUCCAUUUUUCUGUGCAAAUAUCAAUUCUUGACAGGUUAUUCAGUAAUCUCGCACAUGUUCGUUUUCUCUAUAUAUCAUCAGUAUUAAAGUUCAUACAUGAUACGUUAUAUUCUCGGCUUUAGAACAUUAAAGUUCGUACAAGAUACCUUAUCAUCAGUAGUAAAGUUCAUACCAUGUUCUCCUGCUUAGUCUAAAUCAGAUAGGGACUUUAAACAUAAUCAGUUUAGAUAAUGACAGGCAUCCUAAAGUACAUGUAAAACCAUGGUAUCCUCAAGCCAUGGUUGGGGAAGGAUAAAAUUAGAAAAGGAGAAGAGGGUCCUAACAUGUUUAGUACCAUCUUAUGGGUUGUUUUGAGGCCACAGAUCUGCAGCAUACUAACAUCUGUCCUGCUAACUUCCCUACUUUUCUUUUAAUUUGUGCUCUGAAUAUGAUCAUGUGACCUGCUUUCUUCAGUUCAUUUGCUUCAGAUCAUGUGGCCUGCUUUCUUUUCUUCUCCAUACAAGCUACAUGUUACUGUUACAUACAUGUGGGAGCAAAUUAAAUCUGUCCAUUGAAUUGUAGUCAUACUUUUCUUAAAUGGAUUUAUUUCAAGGCCUGUUAUGUAUUGUUCACGUCUUCUGCCUUUCAAGUGUGUUGGUAGCACACCCUUAGUUAUUAACCAACACAUGUAUUGUUCAUGUCUUCUGCAUUGUUCAUUGAGCACAAAGGUAUCACUAUUUAGGUAAAUUAUAUGAUGGGUUAUAGGACUGUAUGAACUGCUAACCAAUUUAUCCUUUUAACAGAACAUGGUUUGAUGAAAGGAGGGUGAUGGAUGCGCCAUGGGGCAAGUCACCUGGAUUGUGUCGUGUUGGGAGGGUGAUGGAUGUGCCAUGGGGCAAGUCCGUCUGAUGAAUGGUGUGGACGGAAGAGCGACAAUAACUAUGGGGUUGGUCAAAGGUUGAAAGAAAUCUCUUAUGUGUCUUCGGUCUCGACACCACGUGUAGGUAGCCAUCAUUGAUAAUACAAACUUUGAAAAGUUUGUUUCAAGGUUCAUAACUCUGUUGUCAAUGGGGAAAAUGUUAUCUGUUUCAAGUGACAAAACAAACUACUCAUAGCAGGUUCAUGUGAUGUGGCGUAUAAAAGGUCGAACGUCAAGACGAUCAGGUGUAUGUAUCCAAAAAUAUGCUUUUGUGGAACUAUAUAGGUUCUUUGUCUCACACUGCUGUUGUGACUUUCUUUUCCUGUAUGAAAAGUACACUAUCUAUAUCAAACUUGAUGUGGAUUGAUCGACCUUGCUCGCUUUUGGCACAAGUAUAUAUUUCCAUUUCCUAUGAACUUCCAGAUGAAUUGUUC